GUUAAAUAGAUGAAGUUUAAAAAAAAAUUAACCUAGGGACACUUUGUGGACAACUGGAACAUUUUUGUUAAAAAAUAAUCUGCUUGUGCUUAAGUUUGAUUUAAUACAUUUUGGGAGAAUUAAGAUUCUCACAAUUGCUUUAAACAAGUGAAAAGUUAUCUUUAGUAAAACAUAGAGGAGAAAUCUAGAUGAUAUAUACUACAGUAUUCUGCUUAAUAGGAAAACUUCAAGUAAGACAUCUUUAAAUAUGUAAUCGAUACUUGCUGUACUUCCCAAUACUUCUUUUCUGUUGGUGUCAGUAAGAUAGAGGUGACCGACUCUAGUCAAUGCCAUGGGGUCAUCUAGAGAGCAGGCUGGUGGACAGCCUUGAAGUGUGUGGCACUGGGCAGGUUUUGAGGGUCCAGUCUUCCUACCUGUAGAGGGAGGUGAUGGUGCCCACCUUUCAGAGCAGUUGUGACACCAGAAGACGACAAAUUUGAGUUUCCCAGGCCAGCAGGCCCUUGAUGCAGCCUGGCUGCUAUGAAUCAUGAGGCCCCUGGGACAUUCUUCCCUGUGAAUGGAUUU
rnacentral:lncRNA from 1 species